GAUCAAGAAGAGGCGACGUGGGAACUCGAGUCUAGCAUGAAGGAGAAGUACCCAAAAUUAUUUCCUGUGGUACAAAUUUCGGGACGAAAUUUCUUUUAAGGGGGAUAGUAUGUCAUACCCCGACUUUUAAUCCCUGAUUAAGGGCUUAAUUAUUAAUAAUUAGGGUUCGGCAUCCAUUAAUAAUAAAACUGGUUUGAUUUAUCUGAUGUGAUUUAAUCGUUAUAUAUGUGUUUUAAUGUGCUUAGUUAAAGAAAUUUUUAUAAAUGCAGUGCAUAAGUUUUAAUUGGUGAGUUAAGUGUAUUUAUAUGAGCAAGUUAUUAUGAUUUUUAUUUGAGGAUUAUAGCACUUGGAAUUUUAAUUAAGUUUCCAAAGCAAGUGUAGUUUAUUUUUACCGAGAAAUCAAAGAAUGUCGGUUUAUGGAAAUUUUUCCAAACAAAAUAUUUUCAAAUUAUUUUUCCUAUGAUGAGGAAUAUUAUAAUUGAGUGAGUGCACUAAUAUUAGUGCCAUAUUUAUUUUAAAUUUUGGUCACAAGAGUUUUGUGUUAUAGCAUUUCAUUAAUUAGUGAUUAGUCUUUCAUGAUUUUAAUACAUGGUUUAUUCCUACACCACAUACUACCUUACACACACAUGAUUAUUUUAAUUAAUUGAGCAUGUGUUUAAUUCCUAACCUUGCAUGAGAAGGGAACAAGUGGCCAAGUGGGCUUUUAAUAUUCAUUAACUACUUAGGAAACUUAGUGACCAAGUUUAGCAUUAAACAAAAGCAUUUCCUCUCUCUUCGUCCCCUCUCAUUUUCGUCCAUCUCUCUCUCCCUCUCUACUCUCACUAUUUUCUUUUCAAUCCAUCAUGGAAGAACACUCCAAAGCUUCUAAACACAUAGAUCCACCAUCACCAUUCCUAGAGCUAGCCUUCAAUCACCAAGAAUCAAGAGAAUGAUCAAGCUAGAGUUUCCAAACCCAAGUGGAUCAAAGAGUUCGCCAUUUUCUUAAAUAUUGAGGGUCCGGGCGACAGGAAGUGAAGCCGAAGAAGAAGCGACUCCACGCUAGCUUAAGAACGUUUGAGAUUGAGUAGCUGAUGGAAUGGAAUGGUGUUGAGCGGGUGUUCCUUUGAUCAUUUCAAGAAAUGUAACCUUGAGUAUACAUCUUCAUAUGUAUAUCUCACACGUUUUCCGCUGCAAAACACUUUGAUUAGGAUAACUCUAUGUUAUGAAGUUGUGACACGUGAUAUUGGGUAACCCACCUUAAUCAGUUCUCCUUUAUGUGUAUGUGUUAUAAGUAUCCAAAUGAUCAUAUAUGAUCCUAACAUUUUAUCUAUAAGUGACAUUUCCAUA